CCUCUCUCAGGGUCGCACCUGCAGAGUUUCCAGUACUCUACCAGUCUCGGCUAUGGGAGGGAGAGUCAAGCAGAGGCCCACCCAUUUCAUUCCUAGCUUGGGCAAUGGCUAACAAAUGGAAGACAAUCUGCUACAAGU